rnacentral:miRNA from 1 species
GUGUACAUGUAUGUGUGCUUGUAUACAUGUAUGCACACACACACACACACACACACACGCACACACACACA